rnacentral:rRNA from 1 species
CACGUAGGGUGCGAGCGUUGUCCGGAAUCAUUGGGCGUAAAGAGCGUGUAGGCGGCCACUUAAGUCCUGCGUGAAAUCUUGCGGCUCAACCGCAAGCGGUCGUGGGAAACUGGGUGGCUAGAGUGCGGGAGAGGAGAGUGGAAUUCCUGGUGUAGCGGUGGAAUGCGCAGAUAUCAGGAAGAACACCCGUGGCGAAGGCGGCUCUCUGGAACGCAACUGACGCUGAGACGCGAAAGCGUGGGGAGCAAACAGG